UGCAGUCGAGCGGACAGAUGGGAGCUUGCUCCCUGAUGUUAGCGGCGGACGGGUGAGUAACACGUGGGUAACCUGCCUGUAAGACUGGGAUAACUCCGGGAAACCGGGGCUAAUACCGGAUGGUUGUUUGAACCGCAUGGUUCAGACAUAAAAGGUGGCUUCGGCUACCACUUACAGAUGGACCCGCGGCGCAUUAGCUAGUUGGUGAGGUAACGGCUCACCAAGGCGACGAUGCGUAGCCGACCUGAGAGGGUGAUCGGCCACACUGGGACUGAGACACGGCCCAGACUCCUACGGGAGGCAGCAGUAGGGAAUCUUCCGCAAUGGACGAAAGUCUGACGGAGCAACGCCGCGUGAGUGAUGAAGGUUUUCGGAUCGUAAAGCUCUGUUGUUAGGGAAGAACAAGUGCCGUUCAAAUAGGGCGGCACCUUGACGGUACCUAACCAGAAAGCCACGGACUGCUACGUGCCAGCAGCCGCGGUAAUACGUAGGUGGCAAGCGUUGUCCGGAAUUAUUGGGCGUAAAGGGCUCGCAGGCGGUUUCUUAAGUCUGAUGUGAAAGCCCCCGGCUCAACCGGGGAGGGUCAUUGGAAACUGGGGAACUUGAGUGCAGAAGAGGAGAGUGGAAUUCCACGUGUAGCGGUGAAAUGCGUAGAGAUGUGGAGGAACACCAGUGGCGAAGGCGACUCUCUGGUCUGUAACUGACGCUGAGGAGCGAAAGCGUGGGGAGCGAACAGGAUCAGAUACCCUGGUAGUCCACGCCGUAAACGAUGAGUGCUAAGUGUUAGGGGGGUUUCCGCCCCUUAGUGCUGCAGCUAACGCAUUAAGCACUCCGCCUGGGGGAGUACGGUCGCAAGACUGAAACUCAAAGGAAUUGACGGGGGGCCCGCACAAGCGGUGGGAGCAUGUGGGUUUAAAUUCGAAAGCAACGCGAAGAACCCUUUA
rnacentral:rRNA from 1 species